rnacentral:rRNA from 1 species
GAUGAACGCUGGCGGCGUGCCUAAUACAUGCAAGUCGAGCGAACAGACGAGGAGCUUGCUCCUCUGAUGUUAGCGGCGGACGGGUGAGUAACACGUGGAUAACCUACCUAUAAGACUGGGAUAACUUCGGGAAACCGGAGCUAAUACCGGAUAAUAUUUUGAACCGCAUGGUUCAAUAGUUAAAGACGGUUUUGCUGUCACUUAUAGAUGGCUCCGCGCCGCAUUAGCUAGUUGGUAAGGUAACGGCUUACCAAGGCGACGAUGCGUAGCCGACCUGAGAGGGUGAUCGGCCACACUGGAACUGAGACACGGUCCAGACUCCUACGGGAGGCAGCAGUAGGGAAUCUUCCGCAAUGGGCGAAAGCCUGACGGAGCAACGCCGCGUGAGUGAUGAAGGUCUUCGGAUCGUAAAACUCUGUUAUUAGGGAAGAACAAAUGUGUAAGUAACUAUGCACGUCUUGACGGUACCUAAUCAGAAAGCCACGGCUAACUACGUG